UGGGGAAUAUUGGACAAUGGGCGCAAGCCUGAUCCAGCCAUGCCGCGUGAGUGAAGAAGGCCUUAGGGUUGUAAAACUCUUUCGCCGGGGAAGAUAAUGACGGUACCCGGAGAAGAAGCUCCGGCUAACUUCGUGCCAGCAGCCGCGGUAAUACGAAGGGAGCUAGCGUUGUUCGGAAUUACUGGGCGUAAAGCGCACGUAGGCGGACUUGUCAGUCAGGGGUGAAAUCCCAAGGCUCAACCUUGGAACUGCCUCCGAUACAGCAAGCCUAGAGAUCGGGAGAGGUGUGUGGAAUUCCUAGUGUAGAGGUGAAAUUCGUAGAUAUUAGGAAGAACACCAGUGGCGAAGGCGGCUCACUGGCCCGAUACUGACGCUGAGGUGCGAAAGCGUGGGGAGCAAACAGGAUUAGAUACCCAUGUAGUCCCUGAGCGGGCUGGCAAGGCGCAU
rnacentral:rRNA from 1 species